UAAGGAGCUCUCUGAUUGGUUGGAUAGACACAGGCUGUCUGCCUGGAUUUUUCUAGCUCAUAGCUUCGCCCUGCUAAGAAGCGUGUGUGCUUGUACAAAGGCUGUUCAGCCUCGAGAUUUACACUAGGCUCGACACGGAUAUGUGAAGAAUGAAGGGACCCUGCAGCGAAACGGAGAGCUCAACCUCUGACUGAGUGCCUGUUUUCGCAGUCUGACCACCUGUUGAAGAUGGAGGAUCACCAACAGGAGCGUGGAAAGAUUCCAGAAUCCACUCUGGCUGGAAUCCGGUGGGUAUGCAGUGUUUACAGAACAGUUCUCCACAGUUGCUGUCCACAUGGGUCAGUGGGACCAAGAAGCACUCUGCUAAUGUGGGACUCUGACCAGCAACAUCCAGCAAGACCCAGACAGCGUUUUCUAUCUCCCAGCUGGAGGUUUUGUUUGUCUGUGACUGGAGAGUCAGAUUUUUGUUGAGCUUCACACUUGCAGAGGAGAAUCAUCACCUCUGCCAACAAAGAAGCCUGGUGGAUGUUUGUUUACAGUCUGAUGAUGGGACAUCAUGCUCUGCAUCUUCAAAGUUUGCCUCCUCAUUAUUAUUCAUACCCAGUAAUGUGAAGUAUGCUUAUAUCUACUGUAACUGAACCAACCUGGUGCUCUUCAUUUAUGGAGGCUGUUGAGUCUGAAUGUUGGAUGUUGUGUAUCUCGUGUUCUCUGGGCUUUGUUGUCCUCAGUCUUUUCGCAGGAUCAGAAAACAAAACCAGGAGGCGCGUAAAUGUUUCUUCUCUAUGAUGUUUCUUCAAAUGUUUCUUCUGGAUGAUGAUAAGACUGUGACACGGGAUGCCACCUUUGGUCUUGUGAUGAAGCAAAGCUCAGGAAGAUGUGGGAUUAAAUGGUACCCACAUGUGUGCUGCUGAGAAGGAUGAACAGGGGCACCUGCAGCCAAAUCCAAGCCUCAGCAGUUUGUGCUCACAGAUGGUGAUGGUGUGGAGAGACGGUGGUGUUUCCUCAGAAGAACCAGCAGAGUCACAAAGGGCACCAGUCCAUCUCACCACCUUGACUUGCUGACUGAUGUUCGUCUGCACUGCACAGAGGAAAUCAACUGACCGAGGGUUCCCAGGCGUGAUUGGCUGUACAGAUGGCACUCACAUUCC